rnacentral:rRNA from 1 species
GCCCCCAGGCCCCACCCCCCUUUUAAAUUUUGAACUCUGCUCAGGACGAACGCUGGCGGCGUGCCUAAUACAUGCAAGUCGAACGAACUCUGGUAUUGAUUGGUGCUUGCAUCAUGAUUUACAUUUGAGUGAGUGGCGAACUGGUGAGUAACACGUGGGAAACCUGCCCAGAAGCGGGGGAUAACACCUGGAAACAGAUGCUAAUACCGCAUAACAACUUGGACCGCAUGGUCCGAGCUUGAAAGAUGGCUUCGGCUAUCACUUUUGGAUGGUCCCGCGGCGUAUUAGCUAGAUGGUGGGGUAACGGCUCACCAUGGCAAUGAUACGUAGCCGACCUGAGAGGGUAAUCGGCCACAUUGGGACUGAGACACGGCCCAAACUCCUACGGGAGGCAGCAGUAGGGAAUCUUCCACAAUGGACGAAAGUCUGAUGGAGCAACGCCGCGUGAGUGAAGAAGGGUUUCGGCUCGUAAAACUCUGUUGUUAAAGAAGAACAUAUCUGAGAGUAACUGUUCAGGUAUUGACGGUAUUUAACCAGAAAGCCACGGCUAACUACGUGCCAGCAGCCGCGGUAAUACGUAGGUGGCAAGCGUUGUCCGGAUUUAUUGGGCGUAAAGCGAGCGCAGGCGGUUUUUUAAGUCUGAUGUGAAAGCCUUCGGCUCAACCGAAGAAGUGCAUCGGAAACUGGGAAACUUGAGUGCAGAAGAGGACAGUGGAACUCCAUGUGUAGCGGUGAAAUGCGUAGAUAUAUGGAAGAACACCAGUGGCGAAGGCGGCUGUCUGGUCUGUAACUGACGCUGAGGCUCGAAAGUAUGGGUAGCAAACAGGAUUAGAUACCCUGGUAGUCCAUACCGUAAACGAUGAAUGCUAAGUGUUGGAGGGUUUCCGCCCUUCAGUGCUGCAGCUAACGCAUUAAGCAUUCCGCCUGGGGAGUACGGCCGCAAGGCUGAAACUCAAAGGAAUUGACGGGGGCCCGCACAAGCGGUGGAGCAUGUGGUUUAAUUCGAAGCUACGCGAAGAACCUUACCAGGUCUUGACAUACUAUGCAAAUCUAAGAGAUUAGACGUUCCCUUCGGGGACAUGGAUACAGGUGGUGCAUGGUUGUCGUCAGCUCGUGUCGUGAGAUGUUGGGUUAAGUCCCGCAACGAGCGCAACCCUUAUUAUCAGUUGCCAGCAUUAAGUUGGGCACUCUGGUGAGACUGCCGGUGACAAACCGGAGGAAGGUGGGGAUGACGUCAAAUCAUCAUGCCCCUUAUGACCUGGGCUACACACGUGCUACAAUGGAUGGUACAACGAGUUGCGAACUCGCGAGAGUAAGCUAAUCUCUUAAAGCCAUUCUCAGUUCGGAUUGUAGGCUGCAACUCGCCUACAUGAAGUCGGAAUCGCUAGUAAUCGCGGAUCAGCAUGCCGCGGUGAAUACGUUCCCGGGCCUUGUACACACCGCCCGUCACACCAUGAGAGUUUGUAACACCCAAAGUCGGUGGGGUAACCUUUUAGGAACCAGCCGCCUAAGGUGGGACAGAUGAUUAGGGUGAAGUCGUAAGG